rnacentral:lncRNA from 1 species
UGAUGAGUGAGUUAUAUACACUCCUGGAUCCUGAGCGUCCUCGGAGUUCUACUGCUGUCGACUGUCGUGUCAUCUCAAGCUGAUGUGCUGUCAGUUGUCACUGGUGUUAUCUGCAUUUCUUGUAGCAUUAUGCGAGCAUGGUGAACCAUGCUGAAUUGUGAUGUUGUGGAAUAAUGUUUAUGCACCUUACAUUUGAUCCCUGGCCUGCUAGUGUAUCAUUUGUAUUUACCGCAGUGAUUGAUUGUUUGUUUGCUUGAGAUGAAAUGCUGCACAUGUUUAGUGUUACAACCAAGGAACAAAAAGUAAAUUAUGUUAUGCAAAGUAAGGUAUCGAGUGAUUUAAACUAAGAAGUAUCCAAUAGGUUUGUUUCAUAUUGUCACUUCUUUCUAGAAAAGGAGGAUCACUUCCUGCCUCUACAUCAUUAUGAUGCACACAAGCAUAUAUUAUUAAAGUUUACCAAGCACCAGUACUGAAGUACACAAAUAACAAAUAAAAAGCCGGUGUGAAGUGCACAAAUAACAAAUAAAAAGCCACAACCGGCGAAAAUAUCACUUUUUUUAAUGGGCAGCACACUACUACAAACUACAAGAGUGCAAAAGGGAAAUCAAAUAGUCCUAAUUAAACUGGAGGCGGUAUGACUAAAUAUUGGUUUCUAACUAUAACUAUAGACACUGAGUGCUAAAUCAGAAUACAAUCAUGUCUGUAUUUUUUUUAAAAAAAAUCAAAGCUCAUUUCUUGGUUAAAGAUAAAUCUUGCAAAGCGCCUGCAACUUAUACUUUUGGACAACCUAAAUCAAAGGAUAUAUAUGAUAAAAUUAAUUUUAAUUUUCAUACAUUUUUAUUGUAGUUCGUAUCUCUUAGCAAACUUAGCAUAUAUGUCAGAUAAAUCUUGCAAAGCACAUGCAACUUAUACUUUUGGACAACCUAAAUCAAAGGAUAUAUAUGAAAAAAUUAUUUUUAAUUUUCAUACAUUUUUAUUGUAGUUUGUUUUUCUUAGCAAACUUAGCAUAUAUGUCUUGAUUUUAUUAUAGUUUUCAGAGUAGUUUACAAUCAAACUCACAUGAAGGGAUGUUGCUAAGAUAGUGCUUAUGAGUGCAAAUGUGCAGAUAAAAAAUUAUUGGUAAUGGUAUCCGGCGCAGAUGGCAAACAAGCGCAUUUUGCUGGCAGUUUUAGUUGCGACGCAUGAUCAAAUGAUGGAAGUUUCUGCCCGUUUUGUGUGACACGUUCAGUGUGACCGUGUUCCCCCACGUCGACCACAUGUUCAUCGCAAGUCUUGUUGUGAUCCUGGACGAGGUUCACAGGGACAAGCGUGAAAAUAAUUGAUGAGUGAGUUAUAUAAGCUCCCGGAUCCUGAGCGUCCUCGAGUACUACAGCUGUCGUGUCAUCUCAAGCUGAUGUGUUGUCACCGGUCACUGGUGUAGUCCUGGCUAUGGGCAGCCUGACCCGAAAAAGCCCGACCCAAUCUUGUCCAUUGACCUGGCCUGGGCCUAAAUUUUGAGCCCGAUGGCCGAGCCCGGGCCUGUCGUUUUCGCCGUUUAAGGAAGAGGCCCGACCUGUGGCCCGAGGCCUGGCGGGCUUUUAGCGUGAUGGGCCAGGCUCGGGCCCAAUUUUUAGGCCCGACGACCGGCCGGGCUUGGACCUGGGAUUUUUGCGUCGGGCUUUGGUUGGCCCAAAGCCCGGCCCGGCCCGGCCUGACAGAUGGCUAGGUUUACACUGGUGUUAUCUGCAUUUCUUGUAGCAUUAUGCUAGCAUGAUGAGCCAUGCUGAAUUGUGAUGUUGUGCAAUAAUAAUGUUUAUGCACCUUACAUUUGAUCCCUGGCG